rnacentral:rRNA from 1 species
CCUACGGGAGGCAGCAGUGGGGAAUAUUGGACAAUGGGCGCAAGCCUGAUCCAGCCAUGCCGCGUGUGUGAAGAAGGCCUUCGGGUUGUAAAGCACUUUUGUUCGGGAAGAAAUCUUCCGACCUAAUACGUCGGGAGGAUGACGGUACCGAAAGAAUAAGCACCGGCUAACUUCGUGCCAGCAGCCGCGGUAAUACGAAGGGUGCAAGCGUUACUCGGAAUUACUGGGCGUAAAGCGUGCGUAGGUGGUUCGUUAAGUCUGCCGUGAAAGCCCCGGGCUCAACCUGGGAAUGGCGGUGGAUACUGGCGGACUAGAGUGCGGUAGAGGGUGGUGGAAUUCCCGGUGUAGCAGUGAAAUGCGUAGAGAUCGGGAGGAACAUCUGUGGCGAAGGCGGCCACCUGGACCAGCACUGACACUGAGGCACGAAAGCGUGGGGAGC